UUAUUGGAAAAACUGUUUCUGUCUCAUAACUAUCUGUUUUUGAACAAAAAAAUCAAGAGUCCCGGCCGCAUGUUUUCUUCUUGGCUGCACUUCUUUCUAGAGCACUUUUCUGGUGAUAACGAAGGAAUCCAGGCGUUUUGUUUGACAGAGGUGGGUGUUAGAUGACCUGUAAGGACUCGCUUAGUGCUCGCAUUUAUUCAGCAUUACAGAGCUGAAACUGGUGGUGGUGGUUCCUUUCAAUAGAAUUUCAUGGCAUCAAGUGUUUACUUGGAGUUGCAACAGAAGAAGCUGCUGUUGGAAGGAUACAAUAUAGCUUCCACAACAAGUGGUUACCUUACAAAGAAUUUCAGCCUUCUACAAUUCUCUCAUAGAAGAGCAAGCUAGCCUCCGCAGCUAGCACAUCUUUCUCUGAGACACUGGAGACAUCAGAAUCUG
rnacentral:misc_RNA from 1 species